rnacentral:rRNA from 1 species
AGCGAACGCUGGCGGCAGGCCUAACACAUGCAAGUCGAACGAAGUCUUCGGACUUAGUGGCGGACGGGUGAGUAACACGUGGGAACGUGCCUUUAGGUUCGGAAUAACUCAGGGAAACUUGUGCUAAUACCGAAUGUGCCCUUCGGGGGAAAGAUUUAUCGCCUUUAGAGCGGCCCGCGUCUGAUUAGCUAGUUGGUGAGGUAAAGGCUCACCAAGGCUACGAUCAGUAGCUGGUCUGAGAGGAUGACCAGCCACAUUGGGACUGAGACACGGCCCAAACUCCUACGGGAGGCAGCAGUGGGGAAUCUUGCGCAAUGGGCGAAAGCCUGACGCAGCCAUGCCGCGUGGAUGAUGAAGGUCUUAGGAUUGUAAAAUCCUUUCACCGGUGAAGAUAAUGACUGUAGCCGGAGAAGAAGCCCCGGCUAACUUCGUGCCAGCCGCCGCCGUAA